AAGGAGCUUCCUUCAGUCCACUCAUGGAUAGGGUAAAGGGUUUGAAUUAGCUGCUGACUCAUUCAUUCAAACACAAUAGAACACAGGUUUCUUCAAUACAGGCUAUUGUGAAUGUGUGAAUGAUGCAGGAGGUAAAUUUCAUCCUUUUCUUGUCUUUGCUUGGACUGAAGGGAGCUCCCUUU
rnacentral:pre_miRNA from 1 species